UCUCUCUCAUUUUCACAUUCCAAAUUUUUCUCCUACAUUUAAUACUCCAGCUAUCCAGUUUGAAAUUCAAAUUGUUGUCCAAAAUUAGAUUAUUCCCUCCCGAAGUUGAAGUUCCCUCCCGAAGUUGAAGUCAAUUUCAUCUAAAAUUGGUCACACAAUGAAUGAAUCAUCUUCAUCUUUGAGGAUUACCAGAGGGUCAUUGGGAAAAUCAAAUCAAGUUAUACAAGAACAAACAAUGGAAGAGCUUAGAUCAAAGGAAAAAAACGACCCUACGGCAGUUCAACAAGCUAUUAACAACGUCAAAGCUAGAGGCAUUAAAAUAGUACAAGGAAGAAGAAAGAGGAAAGCUGUAAACAUUGAAUCAGAGGAAAAUGCUUCUGAAGUUGUCGGAUCUGAAGAACAUAAUAUUCAUGAGGUACUGUAUUAAAACACAAAGUUAGAUACAAUUUUUUGGUUAA